AGACACCAACACCUCUGCCUGUGUCCAACGAGAACAGUCAGAUGCAGAUGAGCCAGAGGUUCCUCCCCUAACAAGAACAGACAGUGUAUUUCUCACUAAAGACUACUUUACCAAGCAUGCCAUGGUUCAAGAUCUGUCAGACGUCCCCUCAAGCUGCAUAGAAAC